rnacentral:rRNA from 1 species
AUUGAACGCUGGCGGCAGGCUUAACACAUGCAAGUCGAACGAGUGGCGGACGGGAGAGUAAUGCUUGGGAAUAGAGCUUAUGGAGGGGGAUAACUACGGGAAACUGUAGCUAAAACCGCGUACCAUAGGAUGAGCCCAAGUGGGAUUAGGUAGUUGGGGAGGUAAAGGAUCACCAAGCCGACGAUCUCUAGCUGGUCUGAGAGGAUGACCGGCCACACGUGGACUGAGCCACGGCCCAGCCUCCUACGGGGGGCAGCAUUGGGUAACAUUGCCCAAUGGUGGCAACCUGACGCAGCCAUGCCGCUUGAAUGAAGAAGGCCUUCGGGUUGUAAAGUUCUUUCGGUAGCGAGGCGUUAACUACAGAAGAAGCACCGACUAACUCCGUGCCAGCAGCCGCGGUAAUAC